rnacentral:hammerhead_ribozyme from 1 species
AUCCAGCUGACGAGUCCCAAACAAGACGAAACGAACGUCCUGGAU